UACGUAUGGUGCAAGCGUUAAUCGGAAUUACUGGGCGUAAAGCGUGCGCAGGCGGUUUUGUAAGUCUGACGUGAAAUCCCCGGGCUCAACCUGGGAAUUGCGUUGGAGACUGCAAGGCUUGAAUCUGGCAGAGGGGGGUAGAAUUCCACGUGUAGCAGUGAAAUGCGUAGAGAUGUGGAGGAACACCGAUGGCGAAGGCAGCCCCCUGGGUCAAGAUUGACGCUCAUGCACGAAAGCGUGGGGAGCAAACAGG
rnacentral:rRNA from 1 species